GACCGCGUAGCUCAGUUGGCAGAGCGUUGGGCUAGUAUUCCAAAGGUCGUAGGUUUGAUUCCCACCGUGGUCA
rnacentral:tRNA from 1 species